GCUCAGGUGGUGGAAUUGGUAGACACACACGUUUGAGGGGCGUGUGCCGCAAGGCGUAAGGGUUCGAGUCCCUUCCUGAGCA
rnacentral:tRNA from 1 species